UGCUUUGCGCAGUGGCAUUACCAUAGUUAAUGAGGUUAAACCGAGACGUGGUUAUUGCUAGUUGAAAACUUUAUUACUAUUACUGACAUGAUUCAUUUUAGUGUUAGUUAAUAUCAACUUGUUAUUAAUAAU